rnacentral:rRNA from 1 species
AUGACGUCAAGUCAUCAUGGCCCUUAUGACCAGGGCUACACACGUGCUACAAUGGCAUGGACAAAGAGAGGCAAAGCCGCGAGGUGGAGCAAACCUCAAAAACCAUGUCUUAGUUCGGAUUGCAGUCUGCAACUCGACUGCAUGAAGUCGGAAUCGCUAGUAAUCGCAGGUAAGCACACUGCGGUCGAAUACGUUCCCGGGCCUU